rnacentral:rRNA from 1 species
UACGUAGGGUGCGAGCGUUAAUCGGAAUUACUGGGCGUAAAGCGCGCGCAGGCGGUUCGUUGUGUCUGAUGUGAAAGCCCCGGGCUCAACCUGGGAAUGGCAUUGGAAACUGGCGAGCUGGAGUGUGGCAGAGGGGGGUGGAAUUCCGCGUGUAGCAGUGAAAUGCGUAGAGAUGCGGAGGAACACCGAUGGCGAAGGCAGCCCCCUGGGCCAACACUGACGCUCAGGCACGAAAGCGUGGGGAGCAAACAGG